GGUUGCUAGGCAGUUGCUAAGUGGUUGCUUGGCAGUUGCUAACGUUUUCCAGGUGGUUGCUAGGCAGUUGCUAAGUGGUUGCUAGGCAGUUGCUAACAUUUUCCAAGUGGUUGCUAGGCAGUUGCUAAGUGGUUGCUAGGCAGUUGCUAACGUUUUCCAGGUGUUUGCUAAGUGGUUGCUAACUGGUUGCUAGGCAGUUGCUAUAA